rnacentral:rRNA from 1 species
UUUGGUUAAGUUAGAAAGGGCGCACGGUGGAUGCCUUGACACUAGGAGUCGAUGAAGGACGGGACUAACGCCGAUAUGCUUCGGGGAGCUGUAAGUAAGCUUUGAUCCGAAGAUUUCCGAAUGGGGAAACCCACCAUACGUAAUGGUAUGGUAUCCUUAUCUGAAUACAUAGGGUAAGGAAGACAGACCCAGGGAACUGAAACAUCUAAGUACCUGGAGGAAGAGAAAGCAAAUGCGAUUUCCUGAGUAGCGGCGAGCGAAACGGAACAUAGCCCAAACCAAGAGGCUUGCCUCUUGGGGUUGUAGGACAUUCUAUACGGAGUUACAAAGGAACGAGGUAGACGAAGCGACCUGGAAAGGUCCGUCGUAGAGGGUAACAACCCCGUAGUCGAAACUUCGUUCUCUCUUGAAUGUAUCCUGAGUACGGCGGAACACGUGAAAUUCCGUCGGAAUCUGGGAGGACCAUCUCCCAAGGCUAAAUACUCCCUAGUGAUCGAUAGUGAACCAGUACCGUGAGGGAAAGGUGAAAAGCACCCCGGAAGGGGAGUGAAAGAGAUCCUGAAACCGUGUGCCUACAAAUAGUCAGAGCCCGUUAACGGGUGAUGGCGUGCCUUUUGUAGAAUGAACCGGCGAGUUACGAUCCCGUGCGAGGUUAAGCUGAAGAGGCGGAGCCGCAGCGAAAGCGAGUCUGAAUAGGGCGUUUAGUACGUGGUCGUAGACCCGAAACCAGGUGAUCUACCCAUGUCCAGGGUGAAGUUCAGGUAACACUGAAUGGAGGCCCGAACCCACGCACGUUGAAAAGUGCGGGGAUGAGGUGUGGGUAGCGGAGAAAUUCCAAUCGAACCUGGAGAUAGCUGGUUCUCCCCGAAAUAGCUUUAGGGCUAGCCUUAAGUGUAAGAGUCUUGGAGGUAGAGCACUGAUUGGACUAGGGGUCCUCAUCGGAUUACCGAAUUCAGUCAAACUCCGAAUGCCAAUGACUUAUCCUUAGGAGUCAGACUGCGAGUGAUAAGAUCCGUAGUCAAAAGGGAAACAGCCCAGACCGCCAGCUAAGGUCCCAAAGUGUGUAUUAAGUGGAAAAGGAUGUGGAGUUGCUUAGACAACUAGGAUGUUGGCUUAGAAGCAGCCACCAUUUAAAGAGUGCGUAAUAGCUCACUAGUCGAGUGACUCUGCGCCGAAAAUGUACCGGGGCUAAAUACACCACCGAAGCUGCGGAUUGAUACCGAAUGGUAUCAGUGGUAGGGGAGCGUUCUAAGGACAGUGAAGUCAGACCGNAAGGACUGGUGGAGUGCUUAGAAGUGAGAAUGCCGGUAUGAGUAGCGAAAGACGGGUGAGAAUCCCGUCCACCGAAUGCCUAAGGUUUCCUGAGGAAGGCUCGUCCGCUCAGGGUUAGUCAGGACCUAAGCCGAGGCCGACAGGCGUAGGCGAUGGACAACAGGUUGAUAUUCCUGUACCACCUCUUUAUCGUUUGAGCAAUGGAGGGACGCAGAAGGAUAGAAGAAGCGUGCGAUUGGUUGUGCACGUCCAAGCAGUUAGGCUGAUAAGUAGGCAAAUCCGCUUAUCAUAAAGGCUGAGCUGUGAUGGGGAAGCUCCUUAUGGAGCGAAGUCUUUGAUUCCCCGCUGCCAAGAAAAGCUUCUAGCGAGAUAAAAGGUGCCUGUACCGCAAACCGACACAGGUAGGCGAGGAGAGAAUCCUAAGGUGUGCGAGAGAACUCUGGUUAAGGAACUCGGCAAAAUGACCCCGUAACUUCGGGAGAAGGGGUGCUUUCUUAACGGAAAGCCGCAGUGAAUAGGCCCAAGCGACUGUUUAGCAAAAACACAGCUCUCUGCGAAGCCGUAAGGCGAAGUAUAGGGGGUGACACCUGCCCGGUGCUGGAAGGUUAAGGAGAGGGGUUAGCGUAAGCGAAGCUCUGAACUGAAGCCCCAGUAAACGGCGGCCGUAACUAUAACGGUCCUAAGGUAGCGAAAUUCCUUGUCGGGUAAGUUCCGACCCGCACGAAAGGUGUAACGAUUUGGGCACUGUCUCAACCAGAGACUCGGUGAAAUUAUAGUACCUGUGAAGAUGCAGGUUACCCGCGACAGGACGGAAAGACCCCGUGGAGCUUUACUGUAGCCUGAUAUUGAAUUUUGGUACAGUUUGUACAGGAUAGGCGGGAGCCAUUGAAACCGGAGCGCUAGCUUCGG